UGUUGAGCUUUGUCAUAGCGAUUUCCUCCCAAACGCGAAGAAAACCCUAGCCGAUCUCUUCCUUCUCCUCCGAUGUGCGAGCCAAUUUCCGAUGAUGAAGACAGAUCUAUCGCCGCCCCCGCCGCCGACGGUUUCAAACGAGGUAGGUACAGACCUCGAUUUCUCAUUCACGGGCCUGAGGUAAAGGAAAGAAUUGUGUUAUUUGAUGUCUGAGAAGUGAAUGAAGAUGGCUUGUGCUCCUCUCAAGUGCAUUUAUAGCACCUCAAACAUUUGAGAGGGAAAUAUUAGGAGGGAAAUGAAUUAUUUUAGCAUUUUAGAUACUAAAUGUACCUUUAAUGUUGUUAGAUAUUGUUGUUGUUAGUUGUGUUGAUAUUAGAAGUAAUGAUUGCUUUUUUAAGGAAAUAUUAGGAGGGAAAUGAAUAUUUGACAAUUGUAAUUAUUUUUUUU